rnacentral:tRNA from 1 species
AGCAGAGUAGAGCAGCGGCCCAGCUCGACGCGCUCAUAACGCGUAGGUCGUGGGUUCAAAUCCCACCUCUGCAACCA